CCAGCCGCCACCGCGGCCCCUAAUUAGUAUCUGCACGGCUUCCGCAUUCUCUCGUCCGUUUCAUCGCUCUCGGCGUCUGCGGGGUUUCUUCCUCUCUCCCUUUCGCAGAUGCGGGGCACGAUCGGCAUUAUUUGGAGCUCUUUAUCUCCGACAUCCUUCGGGGGUCUGAGGGGCUGGAGCAGCGCGCUGCUCUACGCCUGUGGGCCGCCACCGCGGCCCCUAAUUAGUAUCUGCACGGCUUCCGCAUUCUCUCGUCCGUUUCAUCGCUCUCGGCGUCUGCGGGGUUUCUUCCUCUCUCCCUUUCGCAGAUGCGGGGCACGAUCGGCAUUAUUUGGAGCUCUUUAUCUCCGACAUCCUUCGGGGGUCUGAGGGGCUGGAGCAGCGCGCUGCUCUACGCCUGUGGCGCGUCCUGGCCCCCCGGAGGCUCUAAGAAACUCAGAGAAAGUCGCGUCUUCUCUCCUGGGCGCUGAGAAGGUGGCAACACGAAAAGCAUCGUCUGGGUCUCUGAGACAUCUGCUCCGUGGCCGGCGCUGGGCCCCGUCCGGUGCACUUGUUUAUUGUCGCGCCGCUGGUGCGAGCCACGCUGCAGCAGACAUGAUGGACCCGGGGCGAAGCGGGCGCAUGGCGGCCGAUAGGUGGCAGCCGAGAGCGCGGGCCGCCCAGGGCUCCAGAGGUGCAGCCAAAGCACCCCUCGGGUGUGACAUUCGUGGGAGACCGAGGAGCCUUGGACCAAGUGCGUAAUUCGAGCGUGGGAGUGUGCAGUUCUCGUGUCGGAAAAGGGAGGAGUGGAGAUAAUCCCGGCAGUGCCAAGCUUGGUGGUGGUCAGGGGCAGAUAAUCUCAGCCCUGUUUGGCUCGCCUGCUCUCCUCUUCCAUUUAGAGUGGGAGAGUCCUUGCUGCCAUCUCCCACAAACACUCUGUAAAGGACCCUGGAAGAGGGAGUGGUUCGUCCUAGCGGUAAAGAGGGAGCUGCUUUUAUUUUUAAGAAUUACGUUUUCACAAGUAUGUUUGGGCAGUUCAAGUGAACGACUUUCAGAAAAAAAAAAUGUCUGUGAAUGCACUUGGUAUGGGCUAAAAGCUGGAAAAGCUCUAGAGGCAUUCUCAGUAGAAAGCGAGUUUCUUCAAGAGUCACCUGCUAAACUUCACGAGCUUCGUCUCUACCAAUGUUCUCUGCUGUCUGGGCCUGCCUUGCAAUUGAUCCUGGAUUUGAAGCUGACAACUGUGAACUAGUUGGAAAAUGCUGCCCCAGGAGCUGCCAUGCCUGAAGAAAAUUCAAAGAAAGCAGUCAUCGAUUUUGACACAAGUAAGAACAAAAGAAACCCGGAACAGUGAUGUGGCUCAGCAGAACAGCACCUGCCUGGCAAAAGGACUCAAGUUCAAUCCCCUGUACCAAAGAAGAAAAAAAUAAGCAGCCAAACAAAUAAACGAGCC
rnacentral:lncRNA from 1 species